GGCCAUAUGCAUCGGUGAAAAUGGGCUAUGUUCUUAGAAUAUUUUAAUAAUAAAAAUUGGGCUUCUAAGACUAAGAACUGAGGAAAUGGUCUUGGGCUAGAGCUGUUCCUGGGCUGUUCUCGGCGACACGUGUCAAGCGUUCAUUGGUGUGAAUUUUUGAUAUCGAAAACAUUAUUCAGUUGGGCCAAAAUCGAAAAGAGGCUAGGGUUUUCGAAAAGAGGCUAGGCAACAUUUUGCGACUAAUCCGUAAUGAGAUUAACUACGAACUCGAUCACUCGCCUCCUCUUCAGUUGGAAGAUAUGAAUAUGAAUGAAAAGAGUUGAUGAAAUGGAAUCAUGGUUUAUGAUGGCUCUUGAUUAUAUGAUCCAACUCGCUGAUGACUUGUUAGAGACUAUGGAAACAAGGCCAAUUAUUCCGGAUCGAAAACUAC